rnacentral:rRNA from 1 species
GACGAACGCUGGCGGCGUGCUUAACACAUGCAAGUCGAACGAUGAAGCCUAGCUUGCUAGGUGGAUUAGUGGCGAACGGGUGAGUAAUACGUGAGUAACCUACCUUUAACUCUGGGAUAAGCCUGGGAAACUGGGUCUAAUACCGGAUACGACCAAUCUCCGCAUGGGGUGUUGGUGGAAAGCGUUAUGUAGUGGUUAUAGAUGGGCUCACGGCCUAUCAGCUUGUUGGUGAGGUAACGGCUCACCAAGGCGACGACGGGUAGCCGGCCUGAGAGGGUGACCGGCCACACUGGGACUGAGACACGGCCCAGACUCCUACGGGAGGCAGCAGUGGGGAAUAUUGCACAAUGGGCGCAAGCCUGAUGCAGCGACGCCGCGUGAGGGAUGACGGCCUUCGGGUUGUAAACCUCUGUUAGCAGGGAAGAAGAGAAAUUGACGGUACCUGCAGAGAAAGCGCCGGCUAACUACGUGCCAGCAGCCGCGGUAAUACGUAGGGCGCGAGCGUUGUCCGGAAUUAUUGGGCGUAAAGAGCUUGUAGGCGGUUUGUCGCGUCUGCUGUGAAAGGCCGGAGCUUAACUCCGUGUAUUGCAGUGUGUACGGGCAGACUAGAGUGCAGUAGGGGAGACUGUAAUUCCUGGUGUAGCGGUGGAAUGCGCAUAUAUCAGGAGGAACACCGAUGGCGAAUGCUGUGUCUCUGGGCUGUAACUGACGCUGAGAAGCGAAAGCAUGGGGAAGCGAACAUG